UCACCAGAAACAACAAUAAUACUAAGAAAACUUUAUGUAUUAGGUGGGCAUAUCGUGCGAAACUUGAGGUAAACCAUUAAAGACAUCGUGGCAAUUGCACAGGAAGCAUUUUUGUUUAAAGGUG